UUGGAAAGCAAUGGUCUGGAUUUCAGAUUCGGAGACACGAGACUCGUAGAAUUUGGCGAUGAAAGCAGAGGCCUUCCUGUCAAUGUCAGGUUCAGCAACCCAACGGUCUUUGUCUUCGUCGCUGUGUUGUACUCUUCUCA